CUCAUCACUCUGGCUUGGCUGCAGUGCUUGCGUUAGGACUUGACAUGGGACCAAGUUAGGGCUCCAUGUCGACACUAUUAUUUAAGCUCUGGGAAACUAGCUUCUCCAGCUGGGUGUUUGAUAAUGUGCCUGUAAGGUGAAAGAGGCCUAACACCAGGAACCUGAGGAAGGACCAACCUAAAACAAACUGAGAAAUAGAUCCAGAGGAUAUGGUCUGGUUAUCGAAUUCAAGUCUUUUUAAGAUCCCCAGCUAUCCAGAGACCGUAUUUUGAGCAUGCAUGAGACUCCUUCCAGUGGAAAGACGAGCAGUUGGGAAUUCAUCAGAUGAGGCAGGAUGAGACUGCUCUAGAGAGGGACAUGGCUUCCACAGCACUACUUCUCACGACAUGCACACUGAUAGAGCAGACUCAACAGAAGAAGCUUCAGGAGGAGACAUAGCGGAAGUUGAAAGACAAGAGGAAUAACCUUAAAUAAAAGAGACAAGGGAAAAUAGCUCAGCAGUGGAGUCAUUUGAGCAUAAAAUCACUGGGAAUAGUCUAAAGCCAUCACCUGGUAUACCUCUUGACCCUCCAGACAGGAGAUCUUUGGCUGGCAUCUUGGAUGGAGAAGCCUGAAAGAUUCAAGGACCUAGAAAUCUUCCUGCUCCUCCUAUCACGCAAGAGAGAUCACAUUUGGAGACAUUUUCAUCUAUGUUGAUUCUGAAUGUAUAGGCUGCUAUUUAUUUUGGUAGCCUGCUUGUUAAACCCAUAAGAGCACUUCUCUUGGAUUUUGAAGAAAUUAACAGUUGUGACUUGUCCAUGGAUUUAUGAGGGAAAAGGAGUUUGGGGUUGGCAGAAGGAAAGGACUUCCUGCUAACUUUUUAUAUUUAUUCACAAAAAGUCAUUGUUAUCUCUAAGCAUGAAAAUAGUUUAUAAAUCCCUUAAGAAAAUGCCAGCUUAAAAAGGAAAGAUCUCAGUUAUCACUGAGUCCUUACAACCAGUCAUCAGAUAAGAGAAUUGAUGAAAACAGCAGGAGACAUUGAAGAUUCACCUUGUAGAGAUCAUGGAAGAAUUAUAAAAGACUGGAAAGCUGCCAUUGCUGAAUUUCUAAUAAAUGG